rnacentral:rRNA from 1 species
UACAGAGGUGGCAAGCGUUGUUCGGAAUUACUGGGCGUAAAGAGCGUGUAGGCGGCCCGAUAAGUCCGCCGUGAAAGUCCAGGGCUCAACCCUGGAAUGCCGGUGGAAACUGUCGGGCUGGAGUCCGGAAGAGGCGAGUGGAAUUCCUGGUGUAGCGGUGAAAUGCGCAGAUAUCAGGAGGAACACCAAUGGCGAAGGCAGCUCGCUGGGACGGUACUGACGCUGAGACGCGAAAGCGUGGGGAGCGAACAGG